GCCAGGCGCAGUGGCAUGUCUACUCUGGAGGCUGAGGUGGGAGGAUCGCUUGAGCCCAGGAGUUCUGGGCUGUAGGGUGCUAUGCCAAUCGGGUGUCUGCACUAAGUUCGGCAUCAAUAUGGUGACCUCCCAGGAGUGGGGGACCACUAGGUUGCCUAAGGAGGGGUGAACUGGCCCAGGUUGGAAACGGAGCAGGUCAAAAUUCCUGUGCUGAUCAGUAGUGGGAUCAUGCCUGUGAAUAGCCACCGCACUCCAGCCUGGGCAACAUAGCAAGACCCCCUCUCU
rnacentral:SRP_RNA from 1 species